CACAUUUUCAUGUAAGUGCAGUAGUAUCACACAGCCUGAUGAUGGGAUAGGAAUGUUCUAGUGUCACUUUCUUAGUUGAUGCUGUUUGGUGAAAUGGUUAUCUGUGUUUUAUUCAAAAGGCUGGUGAUAUUGAUGUACUUAGUGAAGUAUCUUUUAUUUUUAUUUUUCUUUAGGAAAAAUAUCUAGGAAAACAUGAUAUGAAAAUUAUAUUCACUUCAUUGUAGUGUAGCAUUUUCAUGUAUGGCAGUGCCUGUGUGAAGGAGUUGUAGAAAUGCCCUGUCCAUUAAAAAAAGAAAAAAAGGUUUUGUGUGCACACAAGAAAGCUGUUUGGUUAAAUUUAUGGGUGUAAAGGAUGUGUGUGUGUGUGUGUUCUCUCUCUCUCUCUCUCUCUCUCUCUUGUAUGCCUGGACUAGGAUGCCUGACUCUUCCUUGAUGACAGCUGUUAUUCUCGACCUCAGGGUUUUGGUGGAAUGAAACAUGUUGCCAAAGUAACGGUUAAGUUUCUUGGUCUCCCACAUUUUUCAAAGUACAUAGGAUACUGUGCUUAAUCACAUCUUGUCACAUUUUGUCACAAAUCAUUUAAUACCUGUACAGUGGGAAUGAUAACCCAUUUUAUGGACAUAUCAAUUUAGACAUAUCCAUGGUACAUGUAGUACCUGGUUUAUCCUGUAUAAAAUUAACUAAAUUGUGAGUUGUCUUUAUUUUAAAGAGGCCUGACAAAAGUGUGUGUAUAGCUGGUGCUCAAUGCUGAAUCAAACUGGUCAAACUGAAGCACAAUACACUCCUUAUUGUUUCUGCUGCACUAAUUGCCAGGGGUGGGAGAGGAGGAGCAGCAACUAAUCCAUGGUAGGCAGAUGUGGGCAGGAGGUGCUGUAUGUAGUGAGUGGGCAAAGAGGAGCUCAACAUUACUUGAAGUUUGCUAUCCCCUGGAGAGAUACUGGCCAGCACUGGGACAGUCUCAGAACCAGGGUAAAAUUAAUUUAUAUCUCUUUAAAGGUUCUAUUAUUACAAAGUUUUGAGCCAAAUAUAUCUAUAUAACCUAUGUUAUAUUGGUAUGUAUAAAAUUUUGACUUGUAGAAGUUGUAUAUAUAGGGAUAUACAUAUAUAUGUAUGUGUGCAUGUAUAUAUAUGGAUAUAUAUAUAGAUAUAGAUAUUCCUGAAUCAUACACGAAUGGGAAACUGCAAAUGACUGUACACAACAUACAAUAAAAAACUGGACAAGUGC
rnacentral:lncRNA from 1 species